GACUCUCGGUAAUGGAUAUCUCGGCUCUUACAUCGAUGAAGAAAGUAGCAAAAUGCGAUACUUGGUGUGAAUUGCUAAAUCCUAUGAACCAUCGAGUCUUUGAACAUAAGUUGCACCCUAGGCCAUUGGGCUGAGGCCAUGCCUACCUAGGCAUCA